rnacentral:rRNA from 1 species
UACGAAGGGGGCUAGCGUUGCUCGGAAUCACUGGGCGUAAAGCGCACGUAGGCGGAUCCUUAAGUCAGGGGUGAAAUCCCGAGGCUCAACCUCGGAACUGCCUUUGAUACUGGGGAUAUCGAGUCCGGGAGAGGUGAGUGGAACUGCGAGUGUAGAGGUGAAAUUCGUAGAUAUUCGCAAGAACACCAGUGGCGAAGGCGGCUCACUGGCCCGGUACUGACGCUGAGGUGCGAAAGCGUGGGGAGCAAACAGG